UCCUCUGUUUGUUUCACAGCAUAAAAGACAUUGGUCCUGGUGGUAAAGAGACCUAGUGGAAGACACCAUUGCUGAUCUCCUGGGCAAAGUAGGGCAGAGCUUGCUGAGUUGUGGGAGGAAGCACUGCCCUGAGAGCCAGCGGUGUUCCAGACUCCUCCAUCCUCCUCCUCUUCCCAGCUGGGAUGGCGAGUUCCUGUGACUGGCCCGUCACUCUCCCCCCAGCCGUCUUGCAUAGAUUUGGAAUCUUUAAGGAAAGAAUGAAUUAACUCUUUGCAACAGCUAUAUAAAACAAUCAUCAGAAUAAUAAUUCCUUGCAGAUGCAGCA